AUGACGGAAAAUCGAUUUUGUUUGUGAGCUUACGCGUAAAUUUCUUUAAACUCAAUUUUAAUAUAUUAAAAAUUCAUGUGACUAAUCGAAUGCAUUCCUUUCUGCCUUUGUCAUUCAAAGGCAGGUGUGCAAUUGCGAUUAAACUAAACCAAAAAAAAAUUCGCUGUUAGCAGCUAAUUAAAGGCGGCUCAUUUCAGGGCGUGCUGUCACCUUCGUUAGUGCGUCAGGGCAUGUGUGUGUGUGUGUGUGUUGUCAAGGCGGCGCGCCCUCGGGAUGAGAGUGCGGGGCGCCGCCCAUCGAACCCUGCUGCUCUCUCGAGAGAGAGACUGCUGUGCCCACAACGCGAGCAUCUCGGCAGGUACUUUGCGGGCCUACACGCGCAUAUCGCGGCCGAGGCAUCUCAAAGCAGGCCGGCAGUGCCAGCGCAGCGGCAGCAGCAGUCCGCCCUGACUGAGAAGUACCUUGGGCAACCCCACCCUGGCGAGGAAAAGCGCGCACUCAUCCUCGCAUGCACACCAGCCCAAACGCGAGGCAAUGAGAAUUUGAUGAGUCCUCCAAAGGUGGGUCCAGCGAGUGCAGAGACGCAGACGAACAGCUUCAACACAGCCUGAAGCGCCACCUGCUGACUUUCUGGGCAGCACCUUGCGAUUGGGAAAGCUCGUCGAGUGCAGAGAAGAGCAGCACCUUGCACAGACGGGCAGCUGCCUCUGCACCUCUCUCGACGCGCGCGAAGAGCAGCGCGCCCGCCGAUUUGGCAACCCUGAGAGCAGCAGAGUGACCACCUCGAGAGCUAGCUGGACCCUGGCUAUCGGGACAGCGCCCACCUGACGUCAACCUUCUCAAGGAGAGGCGAAAUAUUACGUGAAAACGACGACGCACAAGACGAGAACGCCUGUCGCGUAGACAACCGGCCGAGCUGCACCUUAAUACAUACAUAUAAUCUCCGCGCGCGUGCAGACCUCUAUACUCUCUUCAGGCUCUUGUCUCGCGGCCAGCGACCGUGUAAAUUUUAUCCCUGCACUUCUUGUGAAAUAAACUGUUGUCUAAGAAUGUGUGCACACCUUGAAA